UGAAACCGUGUACGUACAAGCAGUGGGAGCACAGAGCAAUCUGUGUGACUGCGUACCUUUUGUAUAAUGGGUCAGCGACUUAUAUUCUGUAGCAAGGUUAACCGAAUAGGGGAGCCGAAGGGAAACCGAGUCUUAACUGGGCGUUAAGUUGCAGGGUAUAGACCCGAAACCCGGUGAUCUAGCCAUGGGCAGGUUGAAGGUUGGGUAACACUAACUGGAGGACCGAACCGACUAAUGUUGAAAAAUUAGCGGAUGACUUGUGGCUGGGGGUGAAAGGCCAAUCAAACCGGGAGAUAGCUGGUUCUCCCCGAAAGCUAUUUAGGUAGCGCCUCGUGAAUUCAUCUCCGGGGGUAGAGCACUGUUUCGGCAAGGGGGUCAUCCCGACUUACCAACCCGAUGCAAACUGCGAAUACCGGAGAAUGUUAUCACGGGAGACACACGGCGGGUGCUAACGUCCGUCGUGAAGAGGGAAACAACCCAGACCGCCAGCUAAGGUCCCAAAGUCAUGGUUAAGUGGGAAACGAUGUGGGAAGGCCCAGACAGCCAGGAUGUUGGCUUAGAAGCAGCCAUCAUUUAAAGAAAGCGUAAUAGCUCACUGGUCGAGUCGGCCUGCGCGGAAGAUGUAACGGGGCUAAACCAUG
rnacentral:rRNA from 1 species